AGCGAACGCUGGCGGCAGGCCUAACACAUGCAAGUCGAACGGCUCUUCGGAGCAGUGGCGGACGGGUGAGUAACGCGUGGGAACGUGCCCUUUGGUUCGGAACAACACAGGGAAACUUGUGCUAAUACCGGAUGUGCCCUUCGGGGGAAAGAUUUAUCGCCAUUGGAGCGGCCCGCGUUGGAUUAGGUAGUUGGUGGGGUAAAGGCCCACCAAGCCUACGAUCCAUAGCUGGUCUGAGAGGAUGAUCAGCCACGCUGGGACUGAGACACGGCCCAGGCGCCUACGGGAGGCAGCAGUGGAGAAUCGUGCGCAAUGGGCGAAAGCCUGACGCAGCCAUGCCGCGUGAAUGAUGAAGGUCUUAGGAUUGUAAAAUUCUUUCACCGGGGAAGAUAAUGACGGUACCCGGAGAAGAAGCCCCGGCUAACUUCGUGCCAGCCGCCGCCGUAA
rnacentral:rRNA from 1 species